rnacentral:rRNA from 2 species
CGUGUCUAUACAUGCAGUCGACGAAUGGAUUAGGAGCUUGCUCUGUAUCAAGUUAGCGGCGGACGGGUGUCUAACCCAAUGGACCGGUAACCCAAAGAGCUGCAAGACCGCGAGGUGGAGCUAAUCUCAUAAAACCGUUUUUCAGUUCGGAUUGUGUAGGGCUGGCAACUCUCGCCUACAUGAAGCUGGGAAUCGCUAGUAAUCGCGGAUCAGCAUGCCCGCGGUGAAUACGUUCCCGGGCCUGGUACACACCACCGCCCGUCACACCACGAGAGUUUGUAACACCCGAAGUCGGUGGGGUAACCACUAAGGAGCCAGCCGCCUAAGUG